GGUCAAAUCACGUUGAAAACACCGGUUCUCGUUCGAUCACCGAAGUUAAGCAUCGAAACCAGGUCAGUACUUAGAUGGGGACCGCUUGGGAACACCUGGUACUGUAA
rnacentral:rRNA from 1 species